rnacentral:rRNA from 1 species
GGGGGGGGGGGGGGGCGGGCGGGGGGGGGGGGGGGCGGGCGGGGGGGGGCGGCGGGGGGGGGGUGCGCGGGGGGCGAACGGGGGAGGAACGCGUGAGGAACCGGCCCGUGCCUGUGGGAGAACUUCAGGGAACUGGGGCGAAUACCGGAGAGGAGCUCCUGCUGCAUGGUGGGGGUUGGAAAGUUUCGGCGGUUGGGGAUGGACUCGCGGCUUAUCAGCCUGUUGGUGGGGUAGUGGCUUACCAAGGCUUUGACGGGUAGCCGGCCUGAGAGGGUGACCGGCCACAUUGGGACUGAGAUACGGCCCAGACUCCUACGGGAGGCAGCAGUGGGGAAUAUUGCACAAUGGGCGGAAGCCUGAUGCAGCAACGCCGCGUGCGGGAUGACGGCCUUCGGGUUGUAAACCGCUUUCGCCUGUGACGAAGCGUGAGUGACGGUAAUGGGUAAAGAAGCACCGGCUAACUACGUG